UACGGGGGGGGGCAAGCGUUGUUCGGAAUUACUGGGCGUAAAGGGCUCGUAGGCGGCCAACUAAGUCAGACGUGAAAUCCCUCGGCUUAACCGGGGAACUGCGUCUGAUACUGGAUGGCUUGAAUCCGGGAGAGGGAUGCGGAAUUCCAGGUGUAGCGGUGAAAUGCGUAGAUAUCAGGAGGAACACCGGUGGCGAAGGCGGGUCUCUGGGCCGAUACUGACGCUGAGGAGCGAAAGCGUGGGGAGCGAACAGG
rnacentral:rRNA from 1 species